rnacentral:tRNA from 1 species
CGGGAUGUGGCGCAGCUUGGUAGCGCGAUUGCUUCGGGAGUAAUAGGCCGCAGGUUCAAAUCCUGUCAUCCCGACCA